rnacentral:miRNA from 1 species
CUUCCAGAGUUUGCAAAUUUUGUAUACUUUUGCAUUGCAAUUUUCGCAUGCAAUACAAAAGUAUACAAAAUUUGCAAACUUUGUAAGGCUAU